UACGUAGGGUGCAAGCGUUAAUCGGAAUUACUGGGCGUAAAGCGUGCGCAGGCGGCUUUGCAAGACAGAUGUGAAAUCCCCGGGCUCAACCUGGGAACUGCAUUUGUGACUGCAAGGCUAGAGUACGGUAGAGGGGGAUGGAAUUCCGCGUGUAGCAGUGAAAUGCGUAGAUAUGCGGAGGAACACCGAUGGCGAAGGCAAUCCCCUGGGCCUGCACUGACGCUGAGGUACGAAAGCGUGGGGAGCAAACAGG
rnacentral:rRNA from 1 species